GAAGAGGUGGAGAUACGGCGAGCCACUUUGGGUUUCCGGACCCCUUGAGAGAGGGGGGCAUUAAAGGCAAUUUGUUGACGGGACAGUUCGCCCGGCCGACUAUCCUCCUACUCCUCCUCUUGGUCCUGGACAUCUUCCUCUCCCCUCCCCCCCCCCCCCCUCACCCGCCCCAAGCCGUCAUCGAAGUGACUCCACCGACUGUUGAACCUCUCGGCCCCUCCACCUUCACAGCGCUGCCUUGUUUGUUCUGCGGAGGCCACUCGAGGAGAAAGGAAGAGGACUGUUGGUUGCCACCAAGAACACGAUGGCCUCCCGCGCCACUACCUCUACGGGCGCGGGCAGGGGUUGUCGGAGGACAGCAGGACGUAAAGGAGCGGCGGUCCAGUGUCCUAGUGGAACAGCUGGUGAACGAUACUUCUCAGACUUUUUUAUUUGGGAAAGGGGGGGGGGGGGGGGAAUUUCUUUCAGAAACCA